ensembl:lncRNA LINC01791 long intergenic non-protein coding RNA 1791
ACCCUUGUCUCAUUCCGAGAUUGUGUGCUGAGGGUUUUCAACUGCAUCUCUAAAGGGAAGGCCAAAGAAAGAGCAACAGGAAAGGAUGGUAAAAAGGGGGUAGAAAGGAAGAAGGAAGGGAAGAAAAAAGGGAAAACAGCAAGCUCUCUUUCCAGAGCCACACAUUUUUUUCUGUUUGCUCAGUGGCAGUCUGUUAAAGAAAUACUUCAUUGUCACUGAACACAGAGUCAUUAAAGGCACCUUGGAAAUUUGGACCCUUUUACUAGAAUCAGGGCUUAAAUAGCAACUUAAUUUAUGACACUUCUCGAGGCUGAUGGCGUUUUUGCUCUAAGGCACACAGAGCACUGCAUUAUCUGUCAUUUUCAUUAGAUUCAAGCUACAGCUGGGCCAAAAAGACUUAGUUCUAGCAUAUGUGCUCAAAAUGGCCAAGCUGCGAUUGUCCAAAUUCACCCUUUCAAGAUUGCAUUACUGAACAACUGGAGCCAAAGCUAGAAAUUGGAGAGAGCAAAGCGCCUGAAUUCCACUUGGAAAAUGGCAAACACCAUAGGCUCUGAAGAUUGAAGCGUAUUAUCAUGACUAACUCAAAGGGUCAGAGGAGACACUGGCUUCCACCAGCAAGCUCAACGUCUUUUGGCACAUCUGAGACCUGCCUUGCAAGAAAUGUUAAAAGAAGUGCUUUAGAGAGCAGGGAAAUUCUAUAGGUCAGACACUUGGAUCUACAUAAAAAAAGGAAGAAACCAAAGGAGAAAUAAGUGAAGGGGCUUGAAGAAGAUAUCUAGAAAUGUCAAAGCAGAAGAGCCUCGGAGAUAAUCUGAACUAUUUCUGAGUUUAUAUAAGGGAAAACUGAGACUGGAGAGAACUAACAUGUCUAAUAUUACAAUGGAAACUUGUAAUAAAACCACAAAUUGAGUCAA